rnacentral:rRNA from 1 species
UGGGGAAUAUUGCACAAUGGGCGCAAGCCUGAUGCAGCCAUGCCGCGUGUGUGAAGAAGGCCUUCGGGUUGUAAAGCACUUUCAGCGAGGAGGAAGGUGGUGAGCUUAAUACGCUCAUCAAUUGACGUUACUCGCAGAAGAAGCACCGGCUAACUCCGUGCCAGCAGCCGCGGUAAUACGGAGGGUGCAAGCGUUAAUCGGAAUUACUGGGCGUAAAGCGCACGCAGGCGGUUUGUUAAGUCAGAUGUGAAAUCCCCGGGCUCAACCUGGGAACUGCAUUUGAAACUGGCAAGCUAGAGUCUCGUAGAGGGGGGUAGAAUUCCAGGUGUAGCGGUGAAAUGCGUAGAGAUCUGGAGGAAUACCGGUGGCGAAGGCGGCCCCCUGGACGAAGACUGACGCUCAGGUGCGAAAGCGUGGGGCAGCAAACAGGAUUAGAUACCCUGGUAGUCCACGCUGUAAACGAUGUCGAUUUGGAGGUUGUGCCCUUGAGGCGUGGCUUCCGGAGCUAACGCGUUAAAGUCGACCGCCUGGGGAGUACGGCCGCAAGGUUAAAACUCAAAUGAAUUGAC